GUGGCGCAAUAACCGAGUCGCUUAUUAAGGACACGCUUAAGAGGAAAAGAUAUCCAAGAGAUCGAAAAGAUGGGCGAUAGCGAUGGAGAAAGAGAAAGAGAGAGGGAGAGGGAGAGGGUGAAGGGACCUCUCGAAACGCGAAGAACAAAGGCGGCUGCUUAUGACGCAAUCGGUCAAGUUUGAAAGAGAGAGAGAGCUCGCAGAGUCCUUCGAAAAACGCGAGAAAGGUAUCUAUACCCGCUUUACGAACGUGGGAGGCUUGGACGAAAUCUGCGGGGGGGCUCGAGGAGGCACAAUGAAAAUGAAGAGAACCCGAGACAGGGACAAUGGAGCGGAAUCUCGUGCGCGCGCGCGCGCGCGCAGUUUGCCUUCUUACCAGAUCACCACGCUGAGCAGGAUGAUCAGAUAGAUGUUGAGGAAGAAGGUAAAGUCCUCCCAGAGCAACGUCUUCUCCACGGCGCGGCAAUACCGGCACGUCUCGCUGCUGCACGGAUGAUGGCGAGGAUCCCGCUCGGGCGGCGAGGACGCCUCUCCCUGCGACGAGGACGACGUAGACGGCGACGGCUGCGGUUGACCCGGGUUGUCGUCAACGUCGCGACCCGUCGUCGCCCGUCGAUACACCCGGGAGACUAGAUUCCACGCGCGACACUCCAUGACCCGGCGCGCGAACAACGAUGGGAGUACACGAUCCAUAAUCCGGACUCGUCGAUCGUCUCCGUCGACGACGACGGCGACGGCGGUGGCGGUGCUGAUACUGAUGACGGCGACGGCGAUGGUCGUCCAGCGUGUAUCAGCGACAACGCGCUGAUCCUCCUCCUGCUUCUUGUUCUCCUCGUCCUCCGGAUUACGAUCGGCAAGUCGUAGCGAAUGCUACUCGUCGAGCAUGGCAAAACGCUCCCCGUCCACCCGCGGAUCGGACGACAACUGCGCGUCGUAAGUCGUAAGACGUACCGUGUGUAUUAAUAGCGCCGGACACACACGACCGAGAGCUCGACGGAACGACGAAUGCGACGAGAGACUCGACGAGGGUUUUCCUCAGCUGCCGCGCGCGGCCCUCGAAGGUAGGAAGAGAGAAGGAGGGGGAGAAACGAAACGGAGCGAUUGGAAGGAGAAAAAGAGAGAGAGAGAGACAAACGGAGCUCGGGACAGCUGUUGUACGAGAAGCACCCCCGUCGAGUAACGCGAAUACGCAGGUAGGUAAGUAUACACCUUAACGCUUAGCUAUCUGUCAUUCAAUAAAUCUGCGCGCACACAUACACACACACACACACAUACACCCCCCCGGACAAAGUAUAUCGUUGCGUUGUUUUUUUUUUUCUAAAUACGCGCACUUUUUUGCAGAUAACUCGACGAUUCUAUCGGCAGGAGGGCUGAAGAGAGCCAGAUGCGCUUUAUGCGCCGUUCUAGACAACCUGACGAUGACGCGCGCGCGAUGGAGGCCGACUGAUGUAUAGAUAUAUACGUGAUUUCUAGUAUGAUUUCAUAAACACAUAGUGAUGGGUCUACAUAUGGUUUGUAAGGAACUGAAAAGGUCGAAAGUUGGUUCUGAGAAAAAAGAUUAAGGAUUAGGACUCGAAGAGGACCGCAAAAUUCUCUCCCCACAUGUCUUUAAAUAAGUCUUUAGCACGUUAUUUUCCGGCAUAAGUUGGAUUCUUAAACGUGGAAGUGGCCUGCUUAUAAAUUGGAUUCUCUCCCUGCAAAAUUGAAAGAAGGAAAAGAUUAAGGCUAAUUAAGACAAUUAAUUAAGAUGAUAUAAUUAACAUAAUAAAUCUGAUUAAAAUAUUUCUA